rnacentral:rRNA from 1 species
UACGGGGGGGGCAAGCGUUGUUCGGAAUUACUGGGCGUAAAGGGCUCGUAGGCGGCCAACUAAGUCAUACGUGAAAUCCCUCGGCUUAACCGGGGAACUGCGUCUGAUACUGGAUGGCUUGAGUUCGGGAGAGGGAUGCGGAAUUCCAGGUGUAGCGGUGAAAUGCGUAGAUAUCAGGAGGAACACCGGUGGCGAAGGCGGUUCUCUGGGCAUUACCUGACGCUGAGGAGCGAAAGUGUGGGGAGCGAACAGG